CUAUACAUGACUCUGUGCAUAUCAAUAAGCGGAGGAAAAGAAACUAACAAGGAUUCCCCUUAGUAACGGCGAGUGAAGCGGGAAGAGCUCAAAUUUGAAAUCUUCAAGGUUUGACCUUGACGAAUUGUAGUUUAAAGAAGUGUUUUCGGUUAGAGAGUUUAGGUAAAAGUUCUUUGGAAUAGGACAUCAUAGAGGGUGAGAAUCCCGUAUUUGACCUAUUAUUUCCAGCUGUGUGAUACACUUUCAAAGAGUCGGAUUGUUUGGGAAUGCAGUCCAAAAUGGGUGGUAAAUUUCAUCUAAAGCUAAAUAUUGGCGAGAGACCGAUAGCGAACAAGUACCGUGAGGGAAAGAUGAAAAGAACUUUGAAAAGAGAGUUAAACAGUACGUGAAAUUGUCAAAAGGGAAGCGUUUGACACCAGUGUUGUUUUCGUCGAAAAUCAAUUAAAUAAUUCCUGAUUUUGUAGUUAGUAUUGACCUUAAUAAGCUUGCUGCACUCUUUUCUUGGAACUUAUUGAAUGCACUUUUCAGUUAACAAGUCAACAUCAAUUUCUUUUGUUGUAAAAGGGUCAGUAGGAAGGUGGCUUUACGUUUCGGAGUAAGUGUUUAUAGCCUUUUAUCCUCUGCAACCGGAGAGACUGAGGUACAUGCAGCGUAGACUCUUCGGGGUUAGAUACAUUUGUGCUAAGCUAUAGCUUUGUAUAGACAACUUGUUGACUAUGAUUUAGUCAUUGUAGCUUACUCGCUUAGUGCUAUUUUACCUACGCUUAGGAUGUUGACACACGCGCGUGCUCG
rnacentral:rRNA from 1 species